rnacentral:ncRNA from 1 species
GCGAGGCCCAUAAAAUUUUGUGGCCCAGGGUGGCAACAUCCUGUGGAAAACUUCCUAAAUUGCUGGGAACCCCUACUUUUCAGCUUAGAAGGUAGGGCAAUCAGCAGCCAAGCCCUGUGAGAUAAUUUCAUAUCUUAUAGGGAAGGUUCAGAGACUAUAAUGGAAGCCCCAUGAGAUAAUUUUCUAUCUCACGGGGGUGGUAUAGUCCGUCCCAUUUGGUAACAAAUGG